rnacentral:rRNA from 1 species
GAUGAACGCUGGCGGCGUGCCUAACACAUGCAAGUCGAGCGAGAAGAUUAUGAUUGAUUCUUCGGAUGAGAGAUUGAUUGGAAAGCGGCGGACGGGUGAGUAACGCGUGGGUAACCUGCCCUACACACAGGGAUAGCCAUUGGAAACGAUGAUUAAUACCUGAUAACACAUUUGGAUCGCAUGAUUCAGAUGUCAAAGAUUUAUCGGUGUAGGAUGGACCCGCGUCUGAUUAGCUAGUUGGUAAGGUAAUGGCUUACCAAGGCGACGAUCAGUAGCCGACCUGAGAGGGUGAUCGGCCACACUGGAACUGAGACACGGUCCAG